UACGAAGGGGGCUAGCGUUGUUCGGAAUCACUGGGCGUAAAGGGCGCGUAGGCGGCGCGACAAGUCAGGCGUGAAAGCCCCGGGCUCAACCCGGGAAUUGCGCUUGAUACUGUCGUGCUUGAGGCCGGGAGAGGAUGGCGGAAUUCCCAGUGUAGAGGUGAAAUUCGUAGAUAUUGGGAAGAACCCCGGUGGCGAAGGCGGCCAUCUGGACCGGUUCUGACGCUGAGGCGCGAAAGCGUGGGGAGCAAACAGG
rnacentral:rRNA from 1 species